AGACUGCUGAUACACAGAAUCGCAGUCUAAAUCGAGGAUUGCAAUUUAAAGCUACUACAAUUUAAGAUGAUUUCUUAGACAUGUAAAAAUAGCUAUCUGAUACACAUCUCACUUCGUUUUCGAAUUUCACUAUUGCUUAUGAUUGACAAUGUAAUGACUUCAUUUUCCUGAGAACUGCUGGGGUUCCGAAGGACACUCACGUCAAUGGACCAGCAGAGAGAAGAUCACAGUUAAGAGGUGCUGUUUGCUACGGCUUUUCUAAGGUUGGUGCUGGGUUAAGAGAAGGUAGACAUAAAGAAAUGAUGCUCCGUGCACACUGCACUGCUAGCACUCUGCUUCCAUUUGCUGAUAUGGAAAUCAAGAAAAAUGAAAAAUAUCACAUAGAUUUGUCUUGAAGUUCUAAGAAACAUAGGAAAAUUACUGUCCCAGUUCCUGCCUUCGUGGGAGCCCAGUGACAUCUCUUUGUACUUCUUGUCUUUCUAUUCCUACAGAAUUUUGUGUCAACAUCAAACUGAAACUGGGUAGCAACAAAGAUUGGCUAUUUAUCAAAAACAUGAAUGCCUUUGGGUCUCAUUCUCCUAGAAGCAGGAAGUCUUGGUGAUGUGUUCUUCCAGGUCGAGAGCUUACAAAGACUCCUGUACCAAGCUAGCAAAACAGGUAGCUAUAUGAUAAGUCAGACCAUCAACUAAAAAGCAAUCUGCCCCUAUGGCAUGGGACUUAUGGAGGAGAAACAAAUGUGAUUAAAAUAGCUUUGUCUGGAAAGUAAAGGCUUGAUUUUUUCCAAUACAUUGCUUUUCUUGUUGGACUAAA